UGCGCACAGCAACAAAAGACCCAAUGCAGCCAAAAAUAAAUAAAAAACAAAGAAUGUCAGUGUCCGGAAUUCCCUGACAAUUCUGCUCCUCAUUUGGCUCUCUGGGGCAGAGUGGCAUCCUGGCCUGGGAGGAUAGUAUGAGGCCUCCACCUCCAUGGAACAGGUUCCUUUGGAAGUGGUUAUGGCAGGUUGUCCGAAAGGUAAGUCCCUCACCUAGACUCAUUGCUUAAGAUGUACUGUAUUACUAAUUCUUUAAAAAUAAAUCAUUCUUGUAUUUUCUUCCCCUUUUCAGUGACCUUGUCCUAGAAUCCAAAGCUGAAUGAAACAGGUUCCUUUGGAAGUGGUUAUGGCAGGUUGUCCGAAAGGUAAGUCCCUCACCUAGACUCAUUGCUUAAGAUGUACUGUAUUACUAAUUCUUUAAAAAUAAAUCAUUCUUGUAUUUUCUUCCCCUUUUCAGUGACCUUGUCCUAGAAUCCAAAGCUGAAUGAAACAGGUUCCUUUGGAAGUGGUUAUGGCAGGUUGUCCGAAAGGUAAGUCCCUCACCUAGACUCAUUGCUUAAGAUGUACUGUAUUACUAAUUCUUUAAAAAUAAAUCAUUCUUGUGUUUUCUUCCCCUUUUCAGUGACCUUGUCCUAGAAUCCAAAGCUGAAUAUUUUUAUCCUCUGCUCCAAAGCUGAGUAGUGUAAUGCUAUUAAGUUUUUAUACACAUAUAUGCCUUUCAUAUAUAUAUACACACACAUGUAUAUAUAAUUUUUUUAAGGAUCACUCAUUCUCUAUAAGCUCUUUUGUAAUAAAGUUUUUUCCCACCUGACAGAAAAUGAAACUUUUCCUUGUUCUCGUAGUCUUCUAUCACUUCUUCCUCAUGUACUCUGAACAUCAUAAUAUAAAUUCAUAAAACGAGGCAGUCAGGUUAAGCUAGGGCAUUGCUGUAUACCAUAAAAUACUAUUUGCAUGGUUGUAUACUCACAAACUAUUCCGCCAGGUUUCCUGUGUUCAGAAGGAAAUUUGUGUUCCAGGAAGCUGUCACCCUGAUGAUAGCUACUGGCUCAAAUUAAGGAUCGUGUCCUUUGGCAGUCAGCCCUGUUCUGGCAGGAGUUCUCAAAUCCUUGAAGAAAUGGGUCUUUUCCAAGUUAGGCCCUCUGAUCUCCAACUCGUAAAGAAAUAAACUGGUCAGACCAAGUAUUUGAAGAGAAAGCCUGAGGAAGUUUUGCUGCUUGACACAGAUAGGGAGCUUUUUAUUUUUUUAAGUAAAUCAUCUGGCUCUUUUUGUUCUUUGAUACAGCAAGGGAGGUUUCUGUGAGGAAAUCAGUACUGAACAGUUUGUGCUUUAUGAGUGUCAGUAGAUUUUUUUUCCUUCCCACUCCCACUGCCACUAUCCCCAGAGAUUUCAACACCAUCCAUAUUCUGGUCUCAUUGUUUCUUAUCCACUUAAACUCUGAUGAUUUUCGGCCCCCUGUGAGAUGCCAACCUGGAUCUUUUAAACUACUUAAAAGUGCUCCACUUUGAGGAUAUCAGACUUUGGAGCUCUUCAUUUUGCCUACAACCUCCUUAACCUGCUCCACUCCUUCAUCCCGACCACCAGUUCCUAGAUCUGUUCUUAGGCCUAUUCCUUCCUCACCUAGAGGCCUCUCUUAUCCAUCUGCAUCUGGCUUUGCUUGCCUUGUUGCUCACCCCACUCCAUCCUCAAACCACUCAUUUCAUGGAUGACUUCAGUAAUACUUCAGAUUCUUUCAUUCAUUUCACCUCCUGUGGUACCCAUCUUAUCAAUUCUAAACCAAACUUCGGGUAGCCCCAUACCAUUCCACUUUCUCCUCUCCUAUACCAUAGUAUUGCUAGAAAAGUCACGAAAUUAUGCUACUGUACUUCACUCCCAUUUGAAGGUCCUUUGUUUCACCUUUCAGUGAAUUCCCUGUUAAUUCCCCGAAGGAGCUCUCCCAACUUUUGCCAUCUUAACUUGAAAAGAGCUCAUCUCCUGCAGCCUCCAUUUCCUUUUCUGUUCAGUGGGGAAGAGGGUGCCAGCGUACUUCUCCAACUCUAAUGGACAUGGGAUCUUGUUUAAAGUGCUGAUUCUGAUUCAGGUCUGGUGUGCCUGGUGACGCCAAGGCUGCAGACCAUAUUUUUGAGUAGUAGUUUGAGUCGUCUCAAAUGAGCUCCAAGGUUAUUUAAGAAUAAUAACAAUAGUACAACACUCAUGAUUCUAAGUCCUGAAUCGUAACCCGGCCACUCACUCUCAGCAGAUGACUUGAGCAGGAGCUAAAAGCCGUCUGUUAAGAGGCUCUUCAGCAAUGUUUGCCCUUCCUAGCAACUUUCUUUCCUCACCCUUUUCUCCCUCUUCUAGGUUACUUUUUCCACUGCCUCCAUACUAUCCUUUCUUGCUAACUUGAGAAGUUGUUUUCUCAGUUAAUCUCUUUCCAUGGGCUCAUUCCCCCAUCUAACUACAAUACCUUUUGGCUUCUAGCCUGACAAAACUGUGCUUCCCUAGGGAUAAUUUAACAGCCAAACUUCUCAGAGGAAGGAGCCAUCUCUACCCCUGCUUUCUUUCCAAUUCUACAUUUGCAGCUGAGCAUUUCUACUCAACCACGGUGAAAACAAUUCAUCUUCACCCCAACAGAGUGACCUCCUGCCUUACUUUAUGUUAUUUUUUCCUGCUCAUUUCCCCCUACUUACAUACCUAAUCAAUUAGCAAAUUGUGUUGAUUCCAUCUUCAAAAUAUCUGUCGUAGUCUAAUUAUUCAACUCUUAACUACCUUUCCAAAGGAAAUAAUCCCUUUUUAAAAAAUUUGUACAUGAAGAUAUUCUUCAUAAUAAUGUUAUUGAUAAUAAUAACAAAAUUGGAAAUAACAAAAUGUUCAAAACAAGGGAGGGAAGAAAUAAAUAUAAUUUUAAACGUUACAGUGAUUAAAAUGAUACUUUGUGUGUUGGCAUGGGUUAAAGGACAAAACAUCUACAAAAUGGUAUGUUUAAUAUGAUCCCAUGUUUUAAAUAGGAAGGAAGGAAGGAAAGAGACAUUUGGAGAAAAGUAUCUGAAAGAAAUAAUAUUUUGUUGAUUCCACAAUGUUAAUAGGCAUCUCUGCAUGCUGGGAUUGUGGUUGAUUUUUAGUUGUCUUCAUCUUCUGCACAGUCUGAAUUGUUACAUGUGUAAUAGGAUGUUAGAAUAGGACUCUUUCUGCCUCAGUUUGCACUGAGGCACAAAUAUGGUAGAUACCAAGAUUCCCAGGUGAGUGUGGGGCAGACAGUACAUAUGCAGAAUUUACAAAAAGAAUAAAGGAGAAUCUGCCUCACAACUCCCGGCCCCUUAACCAGGCCAAAGAUAUCAGAGAGUCAGAGGAAGGAAAAAGAUAAAGAUGUUUCCUUGUAGAGAGCUGUGGCCAGGCUCCUGGUUCCUUAGGUACCCUCUGACCCCAGCACCCCGGGAAAGAUGCCUCAGUAGGAAUACUUGGAGCUCCUCUUGCAGUCUGGGGAACCCAGGACUUCAGAGAAAGCUGAAGCCUCUGUGGAUGGGCCUGACUCUGCAAAAGCUGCAGGAUGACAGCAGGGCUGACAAGAGACAUUGGAAACGAGCCAGAGAGGGCUACUGCCUUGGACUUGCCUGGCACUGCAGGUUUCCUGAGGUCCAGAUGGGGGCCAGAUAGGUGGGAAGAGAGUUGCCUUAGGCUGUCUUGGGCUGGAGGGGAACUUCGGGAUGGCCAGGGGUUGAAGAAGGAGUGCAAGUGGCCACCUACAUAUAAAAACUGAUGGGCUCAGCAGAGAACCACUGAAGAGCCUUAGAAGAGUGGCCAAGCGGAGAAGCAUCAGCUUUAACCAUCUGUCAGGCUCACCAGAGACUCCAGCUAUAAACAUCUGCUUGGUCUAGAAAGCAUUGAGCCACCCACCCUUACCUGUCCUCCACUGCACAUCCUCCACCUUGUCUGGGGUGGAGCUGAGCCAGGAGUGAUUAGGGAGGACAAGUCAACCAUGCCCCCACCCCUUUCCACUGGAAGAUUUAGUGCGAAGCCGACCUAAGCUGACAGAAUACAAAUGAUGCAGUGCUGUUUGGAAUCUAUUGGUAUAGAACUGGAUAUUCUAAUUUCUGAAUCGAUACUGCAUUUGUUAAAGUAACCGUAGCACUGCAUAUUAUCUAAGAGGAAUGGAAAAGUAAGGGAGCAUACCCGAGUUUUCAUCUAGAGGCAGGAAAAAUGAAAGGAAGAGUGGGAGAACAAAAGUCAGAUUGUAGUUUUAUCACAGUCUGUUCAUCACGCUUGUUACCAGAACCCAGAUGCCCCCUUGCGCUCACUUCCAUCAUUUCUUGCCUCCACAAAGGUAACCACUGUCCAGUCUUCCAACAGUAUAGAUUCCUUUUGCCUGUUUUUGUGCUUUAUGUAAAUGGAAUCAGUCAGGCUGUGCUCUUUCGUGGCUGGCUUCUUUCAUUCAAUAUUGUGGGAGGUUCAUCUCUGUUGUCACAUGUAAUUGUAUCAUUCAUUUUCAUUAUUAUGUGAUGUUCUAUAGUGUGACUAUACCACAAUUUAUCCAUUCUACUGUUGAUGGGCAUUUGGAUAGCUUCUAGUUUUUGCCUAUUACAAAUAGUAAUUGCUAUGAAUAGUGUAUCACUUUUUAUAAUGGGCGGAGAGCUAUUAAAAAGUCUCUGGCAUCUUCUUUCCUUUCCGUUUCCGUAACUACCACCCCAGUUCAGGCCUUCACAAACAGUCACUGGUUCUAUUAGCAAUGGCCUCUUGAUUGAUAUCCCCAUCUACAGUUCAUCGUAAAUACUGCCACCAAGUUUAUCUUCUGAGAGCAUAAUUCUAAUCAUGCCAUUUCCCUUACUCAAAAACGUCAAAUGUCUCCCCACUGCCUUCCAACCAGAGCAGAAGUUCCUUUCCUUGGCAUUCAAGGCCUCCUCCCUGCAUUUGUACUCCAGAACAUUUUUGUGUCCUAGUCAAGCUAAGCCACUGCCAUGCCCUAAACACAGGCUCUUUUUCUCUUCCUCUGCUUCUCUGUUCUUGCCACCCCGAGUCCAUGUUGCAUCAUGGUGCCACUCACACUGUUCCUAACAGCGAACACACCUGUCAGAGUGCUUCUCCUCCCAGGUUGAGCUCGGAUAUAUUUCUUUCAGCAGGCGGCUUGCAUUCCCUUUGGCCAAGGUCAUGUCCCAUCUGCAGCGCUUUGUUGGACCCUACCUUACACAUCAUGUGCGGCCUCGUGUUAGUAUUGCUCUCAUUUGGGUUUCAUUUUUCUUCCCCACUGACAUUUCUUCUCCGUCUGGUUCAUCUAUAUGUCUCCAGAGCAGCCAGCCCAGCUGGCUUACCCCUAGAAGAGGCUCAAUAAACGUUUGUUGAAUUAUUUUGGAGAAGUUGUUUGAAAAUGUCUUCCUGAUUUUUACCUCUGAUUCCCACUUCUCCUUUGAGUGAAUUCCCCUCUUGCUCCUUGGUAUUUUGUGUGUGUGCCGGCUCAGGAACAUACUCUUUGGUGCCUGAUGCUUCAACUGACCCCCAAGAAAUAAUGAUAACUUCUCAAUGCCACCCUCUUUAAUUAUACCAUUUAAGCCCCUCCCCGCGUCUUAAAUGAAUUAACUAUUUAUUUCUUAGGCAUCUAUUUUGUACAUGGACCAUGAAAACUGGAAUAAAAUUUGCUCUGCACCUGCAAGACAUCAUUGCAGAGUUUUUAAUAUUGAAAAUGUUUUAGUCUGUUGUCUAUGGUUGAUUUUUGAAACUUGCCUUUGUUUCACCACGAUGGAUGAAUUGCACACUGGAUCAGACACCUCAUUCAUUUGCUCUCUCCCCCAGUUGUCUCAAGAGAACUUGGCUCCUCUGAGCACCAGAGAUGACUUAAUUUUGCGGUAAGAAAAUAGGAAUUAGAGGAAGCCAAUUAGGAAACCUCAAGGAAGAGGAAGUGUCUCCAGGCUGAAAGGAAGGCUGUUGAGUCUUAUUUCCUCUCUGUUCUUGACUCAUCCUCUCGGUGCCUGACCAACUUCUGCACCACCCUUUCCCCACCCGAUCAGGGGGCUGAAAUGGGUGUGGGGUGAGAUUGGGGGUAGUGAGCAGAGUGAAUAAAGUCAAAUAACAUUCAUAAAGACACCAAGAUGUAGGGAUACACCAUGGGUGUGAAAAUCUCAGUGAACUUUUUUUUUUCUUUUUUUGCGGUAUG